GAGAAGGGCGUUUGGUGAAUGCCUUGGCAGUAAGAGGCGAUGAAGGACGUGAUACUCUGCGAUAAGCCAUGGGGAGCUGAGAAUAUGCUUUGAUCCAUGGAUUUCCGAAUGGGGCAACCCACCUGAAAUUGUGUUAUUGUUACGCUCCGGCGUGAUCAAUAAUGCGGUUAACCAGGUACUUUUAACCUGAAUACAUAGGGUUUUAAGAGCAAACCCGG
rnacentral:rRNA from 1 species